rnacentral:lncRNA from 1 species
AGAUUUGGAUAUGAAUUGCUUGAUUAUUUGUUCAAGCAUCAAGUAGUCCGGAAAAGGAAAAGAAAGUAAUUCCUACUUCUAAUUACUCAAUUAGAGGGAUUCUUAACCUUUCUAUAUUCACAAGUUCUUAAUUUACUAUUCUUAACAACGCAAAAAUUGAAUUACACAAGUUGCGAAUUCAACAAUCCGCCACACAUGCUAAAGAGCAUAUUAGAUACAAUAUGUCAAUAGUUCAAGUAAAAAGAAAGAUAUUCUUUACUAGAAACAAUAUGACUCUAACUGAAUUACAUAAUUGACAAUGCAACUCUGAGCCCAUGGGGUGGGGUACAUUCAGGCUUCUCUCCAUUUUAUUUACCUGAGAUGUGUAGUGCCUUGUGUUGGUGGUCAGUAUUUCAUGGUAAAUUAUGUAUAUCAAUAUGCCCCUUGUCAGCCUUGAGUAGCUGUUUGAGUCAAAACAGAUACUCCUAUAUGCUUUGAAAUUGGAGAUUUUUCAUAGCUUCAAUGUCUAAUCCAAGCCUGUAGCUAGGUGUUGAGGAGCUAAAAGAAGUUGCAACGGAGAUAUCUGAACCACUGGGUAUGUUAGCCAGGGGUUUCCAGCCAUAACUCCUCUGCCUAUGGUAAAUCCUACGGAUACUAGAAUAAGCACAUCUGUACAGAAUUUUCUCCUUUAUUUUCUGUCUCAUACAUAGUCAAUUGGAUUCUCUAUUACGUACUUCACUAUAACCUCAAGCACAUCUUCCUAUUGCUAACAUCAACUAGCCUGUGCUUUCGCUAAUACUCUUUCUUUACUUUGCCUUUUCCCACUUGCCAUUUAAACAGCUAUCAUCUCUGAUGCCUGAUUCCAGCCCAUUGCCACUUUUGAUGAUGCCUCCAGCCUAAGAAUAGAUGAUCAGACGAACAAGAUAGAGUAACUUAUGGCCAUCCAUUCCGUAGUAUUUCUGUUUCUUAGGUGUUACCAGCACAGAUGCUUCUUGACCAUUGAAGGCCUUGUACCCAAUAAUAUAUCUGCUUUAGUGGAUUUGUGUAGCAGACUAAGUCAUGACAGCUCUCCUUUAUAUUUUACGUUUGUUUUUUGUUUUCUGUAAAACAUUUUUGAGUUUUUUCUGCUUUCCUAUUGACAGUUUUGCUACAGGAUUGAACAUUCUAUCAUUUUCUCUUGCAUCAAAGUUUUCAUGUUUUCUUGACAGCUUUUCAAUUAUUGAACCAAAGUUCAAGAAAGUGAGGUUUCCGCAUUUCAGGAGGUAAAAUGUAAUCAAUCAUCUCAUACUUAUCAAUCCCUUGUCUGCUUUUGCUUGUAGUAAUCUCGCAUAGUUUGGCAUGAUUCCCACUGCUGGGUUCUAUCCUUGUGAAUGAAGCCCUUCUUAGUUGCUUAAACGUACUUAAGAGCUUUUAAGAGAAUCAAUAGUUAAUUCUUAUCAAAAUUCAUGUUCAACUUUGCAUGUUAUCCAGGGUAGAAUUUUUUUAUCUUGCUUCUCCAGGGUAAACGGCAGAGGCGG